GCCAGACUCCUACGGGAGGCAGCAGUGGGGAAUAUUGCACAAUGGGGGAAACCCUGAUGCAGCGACGCCGCGUGAGUGAAGAAGUAUCUCGGUACGUAAAGCUCUAUCAGCAGGGAAGAAAAUGACGGUACCUGAUUAAGAAGCCCCGGCUAACUACGUGCCAGCAGCCGCGGUAAUACGUAGGGGGCAAGCGUUAUCCGGAUUUACUGGGUGUAAAGGGAGCGUAGACGGCUGUGCAAGCCUGAAGUGAAAGGCGGGGGCCCAACCCCCGGACUGCUUUGGGAACUGUACGGCUGGAGUGCAGGAGAGGUAAGUGGAAUUCCUAGUGUAGCGGUGAAAUGCGUAGAUAUUAGGAGGAACACCAGUGGCGAAGGCGGCUUACUGGACUGUAACUGACGUUGAGGCUCGAAAGCGUGGGGAGCAAACAGGAUUAGAUACCCCUGUAAA
rnacentral:rRNA from 1 species